GCGAGGGUGAAGAAGAAAAUCAUUCUGAUUCCCAUUGAUUUGUAAAAAAA
rnacentral:snoRNA from 1 species